GCAGACACAUUCCAGCCAAUCAGCAGCAGACCCUCCCUCCAAAACCCUCCCACCUCCUGGACAGCUCACUAAGAAUGCAGCUUCACAAUGAAUGUAAAAUGGAUGCUGUCCAGGAGGUGGGAGGGUCUGGGAGGGAGGGUCUGCUGCUGAUUGGCUGGAAUGUGUCUG